CCAGUGGAACAGCUGGAGCCUCCUGGGAUGGGGGAAGCCCUGCUGGCUGUGCCCUGCCCAGGACGAGGGACAUCAUUUGGGGUCAGCUCUGUUUCAUUGCCCAAAUUUAGUGAUCACUGUCAAGAGCUUUCCAAAAAAGAGAGAGUGAAGCUGUUUAAUCAGAGAAUCAAGGAAUGGUUUGGGUUGGAAAGGACUUUAAAGAUCAUCCCAUUCCAUGGCCAGGGGGCACCUUCCACCAGACCAGGUUCAAACUUUGGACACCUCAGCCCAUCUUGGAGCUGCAGAGAGCCACAAAGGGCCUCUCAGGCUGACCCCAAGAUGAGCACCAGCCUCCUGCAACAUCAAAAAACCAAGAGCACGUGGAAUGUGUGACCUUUAAUGGCAGAUGAUUUUCAAUCAUACGACUCUCUUGGAUCUGUGUAAUUAAGGACAAGACAGGCCUGAAACUGCUCUGCCUGCAGACGGGAGGAACCCACAGAGCUCCCUGUUCCCAAACGCAGGUGAAACAUCCCCAGAAAGGGUUCAGAGAUUUGCACAUCGAUCUUCUUCACCCCAGAAUUCACCUUUUUAGAAUUUAUCCGUGAGUG